rnacentral:lncRNA from 1 species
UUCUCUCAACUUUUUUUUGCAAAUGCAAAGAAGCUUCCCUCCUUGAAACCCAUCGACCAAGCCUGCAGACAAAUUAAAUUUCUGGUUCAGAAUGUAGCUAUUUUUUCCUAGUUUUUUGCUUGCAGAUAAGCCAAGCUAUGUAUCUCUCACCUGUAGAAAACGGACCUUCGGUUAAUGUUAGCCUAGUUGUCUUAGGUCCCAAGACUAAUGUAAGUAUUUGAAGCGCCCCUGGUAAACCAGGAACUCAAAUGUGAUACAAUACUAGUUCCAGGAGGCUAGUGACACAUUUAUUACAUCAGAUAAGUUUCAGCGUAGUAGUCUCGGAAAGCGUGGACAAGGAAGGCACGCUAUAAUAAUAAGACACCAAAAUACAACAUAGGUCCAAAGGACCUAGAAACAAACGAUAUCGUCAUCGAAUAUCUGACGAAUCCCAAUGCCACAGGCUUAGUUGGGUGCAGACAUGACCUUACUCGAACGCCACUUCGGGAUCGAAGUCCGGAUCUUCCUCUGUUUAAUAAAGCAAGGGUGAGUACAAAGUACUCAGCAAAUCCAACCUUACCCUACGGAAGGGCUUAACAAUAUAUAUGCAUAUGGAUAAAUCAAGAAUGAGGCUUAGUUUUAUUUGCAUAAAGCUAUCUUUUUACACAUGCAAAGUUUCAUUUCACAAAUACUGUUGUAAAAGACCUCUUUUUCCACAUAUGAUAGUAUUUCUAAAAAUGGGGGUUUGAUCACAAUUUUAAGUGUUGUUGAACCCUUGUUCCCACAACACAAUGGCAGUCAACCAUUUAUUUCCAAAAUCACACUCACUCUCAUGUUUUCACUCAUCCCAACCCAUCUAGUUGUUGAAACCAAACCAUAACCCGUCCGAGACCGCGGACACGGCUAUCCAGAUAGAUUUACACUCUGCAGAGGUUGUACACUUUUCCCACAAGUAGGAUACCAUAACUUACACCGUCGUGCAAGCACAGAUCCAUCAAAGUCAUUACCCUCCAUAGCUAAGUAAUGGCGCUCACCACGGGAACACUAAGGCCACAUCUCAUGAUACCACAAUAAUUCACAAAGCUCUUUUCAUAUAUUUCCACAAUUUCACAUACAUCACUUAGUGUCCCGUUGCACACCUGCCUCCAGGUGAUUGCCAUACUAACUAGAGGGAUUUAGACUAAGCCUUUCCCAUGCAAGGCGAGUGGUUGUACGAUAAAUGAGUUAGGCAAGAUGAAUCAUCAACUCAGUCCUUAAUCAAGACAAGGUGGAUAUCUUCACGCUUAACCCCGCAAGGUAUAAGCCACAACACCAGGACAUCCCCAAAAGAGAUCCCAUCCGCCCCAUCUCCAUAGUAAUCACAUCUAUAACUUGUUCAUUAACCCUUUCACAAUACCCACAAUUUAUUUUCACCACUCACACCUUUUACUUUUAAAAUCAUUAUAUUUGAGAAAAUAUAGCGAUGAGUAUCCAGGAUAAGUAACAAGUCCUAAGCAUACUAAAUAAUAAUAUUUCUAUCAUAGCAUAUUAUUUGUUCAUAGGUUCGAACAAGACAAUUACCGGGUAAUAUCAAUUCAAGGAUGGCUAUUCAACAGGUUUAACUAAGCAGCGAAAAUACUUCGUACAUAUAUCGUACAUGCAAUAUUUAAAACGGCUUCUACGGGUUGUGUUUAAAAAUAGGAUCAAUAUGCAUCAAAGGGGAUCGGUUGGACCUGCCUCCGUCGGCGUCCUCGGCAAACUCCUGCUGACAGUCCGGGUCCUCGACGUCAAACUCGCGGUACUCGUCUCCAACGUUCUCGUUUUCGGGCUCGUUCACUCCGUCAGCUAAAAUACGCGACGACCGACAAAGACAACAGGCACAGAUAAAUAAUCAUAUAAAUUCAAAUGAGCUCCAAAAAUCAUGAAAUUAAUAUGGGAGGUAUAUCAUGAUUUUAGAUGAAUUUAGGAAAAAGAAUUAUUGAAAUCAGAGUUAGCAUAUGGUAUUUGUGAAAUGGCCGGACUUUAAUCAUACGAAAAAGGCUAACGAUGAUUAAGGAAUGGAUGCUUCACGUGGGCAUUUGUUUGGCUGGUAGUGCAUGCAUGCAUGUACUAUUUGGUGAAGUUAAUGCUUAUGGCCCACGCAUGCAUGGUUAGAGAGAAAUUAGCAGAGGUCAUUAGAGCUCUUCUGUAUGUCAUGGUUCUAUUUGUGGAGUUCUUGGCAGUGAAUCGGUACAGACAAAUAUAAGGAAAAAUACAGAAAAAUACUACAGAAAGACAGAGAAGAGCAAGGAGAUGCUCAUGAGUUGCUCACCUCGUCUUGCGACGACAGUCGAGCUCGGCUUGUGCGUAUGGCCGUAUACGGUUUACGCGAAGUGAGAGCGAGUGAGCGAGUGAGUGAACGUGUUUCUCGGGUGGUGAGAGUGAGCACCCGAGGCUGGCUUUUUAUAGGCCAAAGCGCUCAGCUGCGUGCCAUUAAAAAUGCUACUGUAGCGCAUGGUCGGUGCCUAAUUUGCAUGCACGAUGCAUGCAAAUGGACGGUGCCUAAUCACCGUGUCCUUGCAUGCAGGUGCAUGCAAAUGGACGGUGCCUAAUCACCGUGUCCUUGCAUGCAGGCAUGAGAUAUAUAUUCGUGUAGGUGCACUGCUAUGUUUUCUUGCAUGUAAGCUUACUGGUACUCGCUGUUAUUUGUGCGCGAAAAAAUAUGGAUGGAUUAGAUGGAGAUAUUAUAGAGCUCAAAUUAUUUUAUAGUUUUUGAAAUAUAUUUUGAAAAUAAUUUUUAAUGCGAGUGAUUUUUGAAUGUGAAUUUUUGGGAUGUUACAGUAUUAGUUUCGGGUCCAAGUUUUACUAAAACUAAAGGUGUUUUAGUCUCUAUUAGUAUUACCAUCCCGGACUACCAAUCCGGACUAAUUGAAGAACCCUUUAGUCCCAGUUCGUAACACCAAUAUGAACUAAAGUUAUCCAACGUGUUAGUUCAAAAUUAAGAAAAGCAUCAGAUUUAAAGUCGGAUGGGACGGAAAGCUUCACGCAAAAUAAUACAAAAGGUCUUGGAUUCGAAUCCUACAAGUCACAAGGGUGGGGGAGGCAUUAUUUUUUUUAGCCUUAGAGGACCUUUAGUCUCGGUUAAGUAAACCGUCUUUUAGUACUGCAUUCCUAGUGUAGGGUGAGACAACCAGGACUAUAGGCCUUUUCCAACUGGGACCGAAUCCACGUUUUCUAAUAGUGUCUUCUUGUCCUAAUGAACAAUCUUGAAAAAACUAUAGAACUGUAACAAUAGAUGAACAAUGCUUGUCAUCUUUAGAUCCUAGGCUGACAACUAUAUAUUCACGUCGUUCACAGGAAAUAGUAUUUUCUCCAUAUAUACUAUAUUAUCAUAUAUUGAUUUUGUGAUCUCGACUAGAACAUGCUUUAGAGUAUCAUCAGUCCAAACUAACAUAUCUAGUGCACCAAUAAUAUGUCCAAACCACGCAUGGGCCGUUAAAUCAUCAUCAUGGAAAGAGGACAUCCGCAAGUACUACUAUUGGACGUUGGAGGAGCACUCAGAAAUAUUUAGUUUGAAUUGCAAUGGCAACAAUAAAUUGGUGGCCAUCAUACAUUCCUAACGGCUCUAGUACUAAGUUUGUUUUGUCCAUAUGUAUAUAUAGUCUAGUAAUCAAUCAACAGACCCACAUGGCCUGUCGUAGCAUAUAACAUGCAUGCCAAUCAUGUGCCUCUCAUAGUCAUACAUCGUUUGGUUUGGUUUGUCAGUUAUUGGUGCAUGAUCUUGUGCUGAAUUCUUGAGGAGAUUUAUCAGAAUCAUGCUUAUUGUUGGAAAGGAUGUUGCUUUGCAAGAGACUACUGAUCUAUUGACACGUAGUAUUAUUAGUCAUUACUUUACGGUCCUGCCUGCAUUAUUAGUACUUCGCUGGAAAGGAUCGAUGUUGUUUUGCAAGAGGCUACUGGUCUGUUGACACGUAUAGUAUAUAUCUAUCGGUUGAACAAGCAUGCGCAGAGCAAAGGUGUGAGUUCCUUAAUAACGAACAUAAUAUUCUUCUAAUAAGAUGCAGCACUGUUCGCUUGGCUGAUAAGCUAUAACUGAAAGUACUAUUCGCUGAUUUGUUACGAGAGAAAAACGUUAUCAAGGCAAAGUGUUCGGCUGUCGCCCUGAGAUUUUGAAGGCAUUGACCUGCCAGCUGCUAAGGACUCUAACGGUAAUAAUGCCAAAUAUUAUGGAGGAGGUUGUACUGUGUAAUCUAAAAAAAAACUUGAAAAUAGAUCAAAGCCAACAAAUAAAACCCGUUCGAUUCAAUUUGUUUAAAAAUUAGAGAAAUGGCCAUUCAGUUAUUUUAUUGUUAAAAAGUUAUUAUCUGUGUUGACUCCCUUGAAAUUCUACACCUGCUGGGUCGUAGUUGUUAACUCAUGCUUCUGUAGACGGAGACGUUGCUCCAUUGCAUCUGGAUCGAUCUUGGACCCCCUCCUGCCGUGUGCCCUACCACGUUCUUCCCUGAGCUCAUCAGGAUCCUGCUCGUUGUUUGUAUGCAUGCUGACCAUCGUCAGCUCCGCCUCCCCUCCUUGCCGUUUCAAAUCCUCCAGCUUUUUAUUAUUUGCCACGCCACACCACGUACAGGCCCACAGCAAAAUUAUGCUCUCACGUCGCUUCCUCCACCCCUAGCUAGCCUUUCCGUUGCUAGCUCGGACUCGAUCCCAUGCCGGCAGUCCAAAUCCAUUUCGAAUUAAAGAUGUCUAUGCAUGAACUAUACGUAGUAGUACACCCUUGCGCGGCGCCAUAAUGGCAUAAUAUGCCAUAUGGCUAUAGUAUCUUUCAUUUGGAAAUAAACAAAAAAUCGCAGCACCACGCAGACAGCACAGGCACAGCACAUGGCCGACGACACUGCCGCGCCGGCGGACGCCAACAACGCCCCACUACUACCCCGGCCGGCCGCCUAUAAAUAGAUCUCUCCACAUGGCCAUGUCUCUUCACUCCUUUCUUCACCAUCCCAGGAUCACUCACCAUUUCGUAAGCUCUGCUUCGUGCGGUUGACGCGCACGACAGCUAGCUUGAGGUGAAUUAUACCUAGCCACACCAUAGCAGAUUGAAGACGAUGGUUCACCGGCCGGCUGCAGCGAAUCGGUCAGGCUCAGGCGCAGGGCGGAGCCAGGUCGUGGACCAGCCGGCCGCGGCGAGAGGCACCAACGGGAGCGGGAGGCGGCAGCAGCAGGCGGCGCAAGAGCUGGUGCUGCGUCGGCUGCUGCCGUGCAACAAGGGCAAGGCGUGCCGGUUCAAACGCACCUGCUUCAGCGAAGAGGACGACGCCGCCUCCUCCGCCAUGCUCCUCCUCGCCUGCGUCGUUUGCG